rnacentral:rRNA from 1 species
GAUGAACGCUGGCGGCGUGCCUAAUACAUGCAAGUCGAGCGAACAGACGAGAGUGCUUGCACUCUCUGACGUUAGCGGCGGACGGGUGAGUAACACGUGGGUAACCUACCUAUAAGACUGGGAUAACUUCGGGAAACCGGAGCUAAUACCGGAUAAUAUUUAGCUUCGCAUGAAGCAAUAGUGAAAGACGGUUCUGCUGUCACUUAUAGAUGGACCCGCGGUGUAUUAGCUAGUUGGUGAGGUAACGGCUCACCAAGGCAACGAUACAUAGCCGACCUGAGAGGGUGAUCGGCCACACUGGGACUGAGACACGGCCCAGACUCCUACGGGAGGCAGCAGUAGGGAAUCUUCCGCAAUGGACGAAAGCCUGACGGAGCAAUGCCGCGUGAGUGAAGAAGGUUUUCGGAUCGUAAAACUCUGUUGUAAGGGAAGAACAAGUACGUUAGUAACUGAACGUACCUUGACGGUACCUUACCAGAAAGCCACGGCUAACUACGUG